rnacentral:rRNA from 1 species
AGAGUUUGAUCCUGGCUCAGGACGAACGCUGGCGGCGUGCUUAACACAUGCAAGUCGAGCGGAAAGGCCAUUUCGGUGGUACUCGAGCGGCGAACGGGUGAGUAACACGUGAGUAAUCUGCCCUUCACUUUGGGAUAACCCCCGGAAACGGGAGCUAAUACCGGAUACGACGCAUCUCCGCAUGGGGUGUGCGUGGAAACUUUUUUGGGUGGGGGAUGUGCUCGCGGCCUAUCAGCUUGUUGGUGGGGUAAUGGCCUACCAAGGCUUUGACGGGUAGCCGGCCUGAGAGGGUGACCGGCCACACUGGGACUGAGACACGGCCCAGACUCCUACGGGAGGCAGC